AUCUGGAUUUUUAAGCGGUUAAGUAAAUAUCAUGGGGCAGGCACUGGGGGGCACAAUAUCCCAAAUAGCCGUAUUUGCAUCACAACCCUUGGAUGAGGUGAUUGCCCAACGUCGCCCAUCAUCAUCCCGGCAGGUUAAGUCCAGGAUGCCAUCCCCGUCACAGUCUGCACUCUGCAGGACUGCGGUGUCGUGGAUGCACCACCCGGAUGGCCUGGUGCAUGAAGCUGCGGCAAAAAAAACAGCAACGAUAAUAAUUGAUCAAUGCCAGAAGCAGAUCGGGCAGGUGGCCUAGCUAGGAAAGGCCACAUGAAGGGUGGAGGCCAGACCAGCUGGAAAUGAAAGGCCAGGCAGUGUAACUACGAUUUCUAGACGCAUUGAGCAGGUCGGUGCCACAAAGAGACUCAGGGCUUGCUUGCCAGCAGCCGUAGGAUAACCGUACAUGCAUGCAUGCAUGCAUGCAUGCAUGCAUGCCACCAAUACAUUCGGUGAUUGAGCAUUGCUAUGCGCUUGCAUGCAUGUUUUGUGCGAUUGGGCAUAUGUAUACAGUUGCCAAAUAUGAUGCCUGAGGGGCUUCAGGUAAGGUGUACACACUGCUGCAAUUCACUGCUCCGAAGCAAGUGGGGUUGAACAAUAAUAUGCUAUGAUAAUUCCGAGGGGCAAUGCCGGUUCGAGGGAAUUCCCUCGAACCAUCUCAAUUUCAUCGCAACGGCUGGGUUAUUACUACGUACCUGGAUCUGUGGGUGGCGAGAAUAUCUUGGGGCAGGCACUGGGGGGCACAAUAUCCCAAAUAGCCGCAUUUGCAUCACAGCCCGUGGAUGAGGUGAUCGCCCAACGUCGCCCAUCAUCAUCCCGGCAGGUAACAUCCAGGGCGCCAUCCCCGUCACAGUCUGCACUCUGCAGGACUGAGCUGUUGUGGAUGCACCACCCGGAUGGCCUGGUGCAUGAAGCUGGAACUGCGGCAAAAGCCAGCAACGAUAAUAAUCGAUCGGUGUCAGAAGCAACAGAAACAUUUCUAGAUGCAUGGAGCAGCAGGUCAGUGCCAUAAGGAAACGCAGCUCGCCUGCCAGGGUUUUAAAACCCCUAGGGUGCCUGCCAGUAGGGAAACCGUACAUGUGUCCAUGCCACCGAUACAAUCGCGGAUUUAGCAUAAUUAUGCGCUCGCGUGAAUGUGUUGUGUGACUGGCUGGGCAUAUGUACAUGCUCAUACAGUUGCUAAAUGCGAUGCCUGAGGGGCACUGCAAUUACUCCCGCCCUUGCUUGCUUACAGGAUCUCGUAGGUUGAAGCAUGAUAUGCUACAUACGAUGAUUCCCCUGAACCAUCUCAGAUUAUUCAUCACAUACAACUGCUGGGUUAUUUCUACGUACCUGGAUCUGUGGGCGGGGGGAAUAUCAUGGGGCAGGCACUGGGGGGCACAAUAUCCCAAAUAGCCGUAUUUGCAUCACAACCCUUGGAUGAGGUGAUUGCCCAACGUCGCCCAUCAUCAUCCCGGCAGGUUAAGUCCAGGAUGCCAUCCCCGUCACAGUCUGCACUCUGCAGGACUGCGGUGUCGUGGAUGCACCACCCGGAUGGCCUGGUGCAUGAAGCUGCGGCAAAAAAAAACAGCAACGAUAAUAAUUGAUCAAUGCCAGAAGCAGAUAGGGCAGGUGGCCUAGCUAGGAAAGGCCACAUGAAGGGUGGAGGCCAGACCAGCUGGAAAUGAAAGGCCAGGCAGUGUAACUACGAUUUCUGGACGCAUCGAGCAGGUCGGUGCCACAAAGAGACUCAGGGCUUGCUUGCCAGCAGCCGUAGGAUAACCGUACAUGCAUGCAUGCAUGCAUGCCACCAAUACAUUCGGUGAUUGAGCAUAGCUAUGCGCUUGCAUGCAUGUUUUGUGCGAUUGGGCAUAUGUAUACAGUUGCCAAAUGUGAUGCCUGGGGGGCUUCAGGUAAGGUGCACACACUGCUGCAAUUCACUGCUCCGAAGCAAGUGGGGUUGAACAAUGAUAUGCUAUGAUAAUUCCGAGGGGCAAUGCCGGUUCGAGGGAAUUCCCUCGAACCAUCUCAAUUUCAUCGCAACGGCUGGGUUAUUACUACGUACCUGGAUCUGUGGGUGGCGAGAAUAUCUUGGGGCAGGCACUGGGGGGCACAAUAUCCCAAAUAGCCGCAUUUGCAUCACAGCCCGUGGAUGAGGUGAUCGCCCAACGUCGCCCAUCAUCAUCCCGGCAGGUAACAUCCAGGGCGCCAUCCCCGUCACAGUCUGCACUCUGCAGGACUGAGCUGUUGUGGAUGCACCACCCGGAUGGCCUGGUGCAUGAAGCUGGAACUGCGGCAAAAGCCAGCAACGAUAAUAAUCGAUCGGUGUCAGAAGCAACAGAAACAUUUCUAGAUGCAUGGAGCAGCAGGUCGGUGCCAUAAGGAAACGCAGCUCGCCUGCCAGGGUUUUAAAACCCCUAGGGCGCCUGCCAGUAGGACAAGUUGGGUGUCGGCUUCAAGGAAGCCGGAAAAAGGGCGGGGCCCCUCUGCAUCCGUACAGGCCGGUAGCAAAGGUGGCAAGUGUGACAAUUGAUGGGUAGUGUCAACGCGGUGGGAGAUGUGCUUUGUUGCAGCAGUGCUGAUGGUGUGAGAGCUAAGCUUGCACCGGCGAAAUCGUCAGCACCGCCUGAGGGCUCCACGCGAAUCGCAUCCAUUCCGGGUGCAUGCCGCAUGGACAGUGCGGCAGACCGCAAGUCGGAAUGCCCGUGCGGGCAAAUGGUAACGAAAGCUGGGUGAAUUUCGGUGCUGUCUGUGAUGUUUAUCCCCGAAGCGCCAGCGGCCUCAGCAAUCCGCCCCACAGCCGCGGGCUUCAUCGGGGCACACCGCAAGUCUCAGGAGGCCCCGUGCAUUGGCCAAAGUAAAUGUACAAACAAGCAGCUUGUGUAUUUCAUAGAGAAAUGAAAGUAAAUUAUGUUGGCCUGCUGGUGGCAAGUCGGAUUGCCCAUGCCGGCAAAUGGUAACACAAGCUGGGUGUUCGAGUUAUCAUACGCUGUCAUCUCGGAAAUCAAUUAUGAGAUACACGGCACCUUUUGAGAUGAAAUAUAGCCCGAGAGGUGUUGAUGUGACUUUUGAGGUCGGUGAAUGGAGGCAGCUAAACUUGUUUGUGCUCAUACGGUCUUUGUUAGCUACAUGCGAGAUACCUUGCAAUAGAGAAUGCUGUAUAGUACCGAUAACGCGUUUCAGCCGGGCGAGAUAUUAUGUUUGGUCCGUUACAGACACACACACACACACACACACACACACACACACACACACACACACACACGGACAUGGGCAAUCCUACAGGUCGGGGCCCCCCUGGGCGCUUCGCGCUGGGGCCCCGCCCAAAAACCGUACAUGUGUCUAUGCCACCGAUACAAUCGCGGAUUUAGCAUAAUUAUGCGCUCGCGUGAAUGUGUUGUGUGACUGGCUGGGCAUAUGUACAUGCUCAUACAGUUGCUAAAUGCGAUGCCUGAGGGGCACUGCAAUUACUCCCGCCCUUGCUUGCUUACAGGAUCUCGUAGGUUGAAGCAUGAUAUGCUACAUACGAUGAUUCCCCUGAACCAUCUCAGAUUAUUCAUCACAUACAACUGCUGGGUUAUUUCUACGUACCUGGAUCUGUGGGCGGGGGGAAUAUCAUGGGGCAGGCACUGGGGGGCACAAUAUCCCAAAUAGCCGUAUUUGCAUCACAACCCUUGGAUGAGGUGAUUGCCCAACGUCGCCCAUCAUCAUCCCGGCAGGUUAAGUCCAGGAUGCCAUCCCCGUCACAGUCUGCACUCUGCAGGACUGCGGUGUCAUGGAUGCACCACCCGGAUGGCCUGGUGCAUGAAGCUGCGGCAAAAAAAACAGCAACGAUAAUAAUUGAUCAAUGCCAGAAGCAGAUAGGGCAGGUGGCCUAGCUAGGAAAGGCCACAUGAAGGGUGGAGGCCAGACCAGCUGGAAAUGAAAGGCCAGGCAGUGUAACUACGAUUUCUAGACGCAUUGAGCAGGUCGGUGCCACAAAGAGACUCAGGGCUUGCUUGCCAGCAGCCGUAGGAUAACCGUACAUGCAUGCAUGCAUGCAUGCAUGCAUGCCACCAAUACAUUCGGUGAUUGAGCAUAGCUAUGCGCUUGCAUGCAUGUUUUGUGCGAUUGGGCAUAUGUAUACAGUUGCCAAAUGUGAUGCCUGGGGGGCUUCAGGUAAGGUGCACACACUGCUGCAAUUCACUGCUCCGAAGCAAGUGGGGUUGAACAAUGAUAUGCUAUGAUAAUUCCGAGGGGCAAUGCCGGUUCGAGGGAAUUCCCUCGAAUCAUCUCAAUUUCAUCGCAACGGCUGGGUUAUUACUACGUACCUGGAUCUGUGGGUGGCGAGAAUAUCUUGGGGCAGGCACUGGGGGGCACAAUAUCCCAAAUAGCCGCAUUUGCAUCACAGCCCGUGGAUGAGGUGAUCGCCCAACGUCGCCCAUCAUCAUCCCGGCAGGUAACAUCCAGGGCGCCAUCCCCGUCACAGUCUGCACUCUGCAGGACUGAGCUGUUGUGGAUGCACCACCCGGAUGGCCUGGUGCAUGAAGCUGGAACUGCGGCAAAAGCCAGCAACGAUAAUAAUCGAUCGGUGUCAGAAGCAACAGAAACAUUUCUAGAUGAAUGGAGCAGCAGGUCGGUGCCAUAAGGAAACGCAGCUCGCCUGCCAGGGUUUUAAAACCCCUAGGGCGCCUGCCAGUAGGAAAACCGUACAUGUGUCCAUGCCACCGAUACAAUCGCUGAUUUAGCAUAAUUAUGCGCUCGCGUGAAUGUGUUGUGUGACUGGCUGGGCAUAUGUACAUGCUCAUACAGUUGCUAAAUGCGAUGCCUGAGGGGCACUGCAAUUACUCCCGCCCUUGCUUGCUUACAGGAUCUCGUAGGUUGAAGCAUGAUAUGCUACAUACGAUGAUUCCCCUGAACCAUCUCAGAUUAUUCAUCACAUACAACUGCUGGGUUAUUUCUACGUACCUGGAUCUGUGGGGGGGGGGAAUAUCAUGGGGCAGGCACUGGGGGGCACAAUAUCCCAAAUAGCCGUAUUUGCAUCACAACCCUUGGAUGAGGUGAUUGCCCAACGUCGCCCAUCAUCAUCCCGGCAGGUUAAGUCCAGGAUGCCAUCCCCGUCACAGUCUGCACUCUGCAGGACUGCGGUGUCGUGGAUGCACCACCCGGAUGGCCUGGUGCAUGAAGCUGCGGCAAAAAAAACAGCAACGAUAAUAAUUGAUCAAUGCCAGAAGCAGAUCGGGCAG
rnacentral:lncRNA from 1 species